rnacentral:lncRNA from 1 species
GUGAGCUACGAGCAGCCCCGCUGCCGACCACCAACUUCCCAGUGCGGGGGGCGCGAGACUCUCUAACAAGUCAACCCCAGCGCAGGGCGGCUUCCUGCUGUACGAGGGCUCCCGUCGCGCCGCUGCUCUCCGCCUUUCGGCCGGCCCUCCUCCGCCCGGCGCCCCCAGUGGAGUUACCUCGCCCGUCACCAUAGCCCGGCGGGUCGCUGUUGGCGGCCAUAACAGUUUCCAUCCGGGGACUGCGGAGCUGCGAGCCUAGAGCUGGGGGCGGCCGUCGCGGAGGGAUACGCGUUCACCUGAAGUGAUUAGUCAAAUUGCAAAUAUGUGCUGCUACUGUUUUGGAGGAACUGAAAACCAACUGCAGCUGAAGAAAAGAAUGAGAAAAAGUAAAGGAAAAAAAAGAAACAGUCUAAUUCUAUCUACAGUCCUAAAGAUGCAAAAGACAACAAGGAAGAAUUACCGUGACAAUGGACAAGUGGCUACAGUUGAACUUGUGUGAAAAUGUUACUUUUCCUUAUCGGAAAGUGAAAAUAUGAAUUGUAUUGUCAGUUACACGUCCCACCAAAAUGCAUGAAGACACAAAUAAAUAUUUAAUCUGUGGUGAAUCAUUUUGUGAUAUAAAUUCAGACCACAUAUGGAUGUCAACCACAGGAGAGAAAAAAGACACCACCCAUGAGAUGACACAAACAAGAGAAAGAAAGCCUUCUAUCCAAUUUAUCAUUUAUAUUAGGGGUAAAGGAGGAUUCAGAAAAACUGAAGUCAAACCACAUGGUUAUAAUGAUAAAUUUGUAUAGUAACAUCUGGAAUAAUGAAAGGUGACAAUCUGAUGAAAAACAACAAAAAAUGGCCAAACACACAAAAAACAUUGACAUCAUUUAGUAGUUUCUCCCAAAGUUAAUGAAAGAGCUCUUUAGUCAUAUGAGUUAUCAUCCAAAAAAACUGCCUCCAAAAUUCCUAAAUAUUUGUCUACAAGCUUCCCAUUUUGUGCAGUGUUAAGAACACCUUACAAACCACAACGUGAGUGCCUGCUUAAGAGAAGGCACUCAUGAUGUGCCUUCAUUCUGAAUCCAUAUGCUCACUACUGAGGACAUGACCAAUGAAUGAAACUUCCAUCUUCAGAAUAAAACUAAACUAAAAGCCACUAACAAAUCCAAGUUCAACUGAAGUCUUAACUGCAGUCUUCUCAAGUGUUUUAGAAGCACAUGCCCAGAGCUGGAUAGCGCACACAUUUUCCAAAUAUCUUAAUGCUGACAAUCCAACCUCACAUGGCAUCAGGCAUGAAUUGUGAUGGAGUACAUGAAUGCAAAGUUAGGUAUUUUUAGGUACUUCAGUGUCAUUUUAAGAGUUUUUUUUUUUUUUUUUUCUCCAGGUAGCAUCAUGCACUGCCCUAUUUCAAGGACCAAAUGCUGCAUGAGAACUAGAAUGUUGUUGUAUUCUUUUUCUUGAAGACAAAAGAUCACACAUAAUGCAUGAAGCUACAUAUGUGCCACUGGCAAAUUUAGAAGUUAUUAAAAACAAGGACUGAAUCCACAGAAGCCUGUUUCACUCUUUCAUUCUUUUUUAGAAGAUGGAAAAGUAGACAAAAUUAAAUUUACGUGAGAUGCUGUGAAAAAGGUGUUCAGCUUCAAGAAAGUGCAUGUUCUCUGAAACAUUAAAUUCCCC